GCAGUGUGGACUAUUUAAGGAAUAGUGGACUACUUAAGGAAUAGUGGACUAUUUAAGGAAUAGUGGACUACUUUUAAGGAAUAGUGGACUAUUUAAGGAAUAGUGGACUACUUAAGGAAUAGUGGACUAUUUAAGGAAUAGUGGACUAUUUAAGGAAUAGUGGACUAUUUAAGGAAUAGUGGACUAUUUAAGGAAUAGUGGACUAUUUAAGGAAUAGUGGACUAUUUAAGGAAUAGUGGACUAUUUAAGGAAUAGUGGACUAUUUAAGGAAUAGUGGACUAUUUAAGGAAUAGUGGACUAUUUAAGGAAUAGUGGACUAUUUAAGGAAUAGUGGACUAUUUAAGGAAUAGUGGACUAUUUAAGGAAUAGUGUACAGUUAGGGACGUGUCCAAAGAGAUGGUAACAUUGAGAAGAAGGAAGAAACAGCUAUGGAAUCAUCCAAAGUGUUGGCUGUUUUGAACCUGUGUGUUACAAUGUUUUCAUUCUUUAUGUGACUGGUGCUCGCUCUUCUUUCCUGUUUUUUAAUUGUAAAACUCUUGCUUGGACUAUUCUCCAAUAGUGAGACCGGGCCCAUGGCAAGAGAAGGGUUGUGUCCCAAAUGCACCCUGUUCCCUAUAUAGUGCACUACUUUUGACCAGAGCCCUAUGGGCCCUAUAAAGGGAAUAGGGUGCCAUUUGUAAAUAGCGUUACUCUCUUCAGCCAGUCUUUGGGGAUAAGAUGUGCACUUCCUACAGUAAGCUUCGCUGGGCUAUCAUUAAUAUGUUGGUACAAUAUCGCUAGGUCUCCAGCACCACUAACUCUAGAAUAAAAUCCUUCUCCGCUCACUUUUAGUUUUUUUUUUUUAAAUAUGAGAACUACUGAAAGCUGAAUUCCCUUUGCUCUGGUUUUGUUUGUUUGUUGCCUGGCCAGAUGUAUUUCCUCGCCAUGUGCUGGUACGCUGAUCUGUAGUUACCUGAGCCAACAAGAUCACAGCUGUACCUACUCAUCAGAAGUCUCCUCAGCUCCUUCAGAGUUACUUCCUGGUUGUGCAAGCUUUUAUUACAGCCCUGCACUAACACACUUUGGUCUGGACCAUGAUUAGCUGAUUGGGUGUGUUAGUGCAGGGCUGAAACAAAAGCCUGACCCUACAGUAUGACGCUCUGUUCUACCUUCACUCCCGUGAAGGAAUCCUCAUCUUCACUCCCGUGAAACAAUCCUCAUCGUCCCGUGAAGUUCCUCUGACUGUCUGGUCUGUCAGUGUUCUGCCAUUUUAAACAGAAGAAGACGGGCGGCAGAGUAGCCUAGUGGUUAGAGUGUAGAGGUGGCAGGGUAGCCUAGUGGUUAGAGUGUAGAGGUGGCAGGUAGCCUAGUGGUUAGUGCGUUGGACUAGUAACCGGAAGGUUGCAAGUUCAAACCCCCAAGCUGACAAGGUACAAAUCUGUCGUUCUGCCCCUGAACAGGCAGUUAACCCACUGUUCCCAGGCCGUCAUUGAAAAUAAGAAUUUGUUCUUAACUGACUUGCCUAGUUAAAUAAAGGUUAAAUAAAUAAAAAUUCACUACCCACUAGGUUAAAAAAUAAAUAUAUAUAAAGUUUAGGCUGAAACCUUUUUGGGAUUUAAAAGUGUAUUUUGGUGGGAAGAAAUGUUUUCCAUAUGUUUCUAUCUCCCCCUCCCCCUUUUAAUUUCAUUGGUGUCACAUUGUGUAGUGUGGAAGUUCUGGAGCUGUAGGUUGUGCGUCCACAACGGCACCCUAUUCCCUAUCUUUUACUGCUUUUGACCUAGUCCCAAAAAGCUCUGUAGUGCACUAUGUAGGGUGAACAGGGUUCCAUUUGUGACACAACCUAGGUCAUUUGUCGUGUGACUGUAAACGUAGUGUGACUACUGUGCUACCAGGCUUAGACUCUGGGGUUAGAUGGUAAACCUACACAUACAACAGAACACCUUGUAGACUCUGGGGUUAGAUGGUAAACCUACACAUACAACAGAACACCUUGUAGACUCUGGGGUUAGAUGGUAAACCUACACAUACAACAGAACACCUUGUAGACUCUGGGGUUAGAUGGUAAACCUACACAUACAACAGAACACCUUGUAGACUCUGGGGUUAGAUGGUAAACCUACACAUACAACAGAAUACCUUGUAGACUCUGGGGUUAGAUGGUAAACCUACACAUACAACAGAACACCUUGUAGACUCUGGGGUUAGAUGGUAAACCUACACAUACAACAGAACACCUUGUAGACUCUGGGGUUAGAUGGUAAACCUACACAUACAACAGAACACCUUGUAGACUCUGGGGUUAGAUGGUAAACCUACACAUACAACAGAAUACCUUGUAAAGUGAAUUACUUUUUAAAUCGACAUUAUAUGUCCUCAGUACAAUUUAUAGCUCUCUCUCUCUUUCUCCCUCCCUCUCACUGCCCAUGUAGCCUCGCUGUCUCUCUCUCUCUCUCUCUCUCUCUCUCUCUCUCUCUCUCUCUCUGCCCAUGUAGCCUUCCUCUCUCUCUCUCUCUCUCUCUCUCUCUCUCCCUCACUGCCCAUGUAGCCUUCCUCUCUCUCCCUCACUGCCCAUGUAGCCUCUCUCUCUCACUGCCCAUGUAGCCUCUCUCUCUCUCUCUCUCUCUCUCUCUCUCUCUCUCUCACUGCCCAUGUAGCCUCUCUCUCAAUGCCCAUGUAGCCUCCCCCUCUCUCUCUCUCUCUUUCCCUCACUGCCCAUGUAGCCUCCCCUCUCUCUCCCCCUCUCCCUCCCCAGGCUGUCUGGACAUAGAGCAGUAUUGUGAAGUCAGAUAAUCAGCUGCUGUUCAUUAUUCCAGGAGAUGAAUCAGUAGAGUGGAGCGUUAACAUAUUGAGCUCAGAAAGUCCCUGGAUGUGUCCCAAAUUGGACCAGAGCCCUGGUCAAAAGUAAUGCACUAAAUAGGGGAUAGGGUGCAGCUUGGGACACAGCCCCAUUCAUUUACAAUGGUGAGCCAGAUAGCCCCAAUCUGGUCUGGGGGAGAGAGAGGGCAUGUGUUCCAGUGUUAAUGAGGAAUGUAGGGUCUAAUGAGAAGGGUCUGGAUGUCUCCCUAUGGGUCCUAGUCAAAAGAGAGGCCACGUGACCUCAACACAGCCUUCAUUCAUUGGGACAUGGACUCUACGUGGUGUCGAAAGCGUUCCACAGCAAUGCUGGCCCAUGUCGACUCCAAUGCUUCCCACAGUUGUGUCAAGUUGGCUGGACGUCCUUUGGGUGGUGGACCAUUCUUGAUCCACACGGGAAACUGUUGAGAGUAAAAACCCAGCAGCGUUAAAGUUCACGACUCAAACCGGUGAGUCUGGCACCUACUACCAAACCCUGUUCAAAGGGACUUAAAUAUUUAGUCUGGUCCAUUCACCCUCUGAAUGGCACACAUACACAAUACAUGUCUCAAUUGUCUCAAGGCUUAAACAUCCUUCUUUAACCUGAGGAGUCUCCUUCAUCUACACUGAUUUGAAGUGGAUUUAACAAGUGACAUCAAUAAGGGAUCAUAGUAUUCACCGGGUCAGUCAAUGUCAUGGAAAGAGCAAGUGUUCUUAAUUCCCCCCCCCCUGUCUGAUAGAUACGGCUAAACAGAACCAUAUAAAUUCAUCAUUACCAGGCUAGGGAGAUAGUGGUCUGACGGGGUGCAACACCAGGGUUUAAGCCCAGGGAAAGUCUCAGGCCAGACACCAGGGUUUAAGCCCAGGGAAAGUGUCAGGCCAGACACCAGGGUUUAAGCCCAGGGAAAGUGUCAGGCCAGACACCAGGGUUUAAGCCCAGGGAAAGUGUCAGGCCAGACACCAGGGUUUAAGCCCAGGGAAAGUGUCAGGCCAGACACCAGUGAUACAGAAGCCAUUGAGAUUCGAGAGCCCCAUCAAUAACACAGGGUGAAGGCCAAAUGGCAUGCUAUUCCCUUUGAAGUGCACUAGUUUUGACUGGACCCUGGUCUCGUGAUGGGCCCGGGUCAAAACUAGUACACUAUGUAAUGAAUAGGGUGCCAUUUGGGACGUAAAGAUUGUCCUUGGCGACAAAGACAGAGGAAGAGUAACAGCAAUAAGGAAUACAGUUUCCUGAACUAGACUUUAUUCCACUAAAACAGAAUAGAUUUAAGAUACAUUAUCUUCCAGUCUCGUAUUGAAACAUUUCAGAUGUUAUUGAAAGACGUAUAUAAAUAAAUACAACUUGUGUAGUUCAAUAAGACUUGGAAAACAAUAUUGAAUGGAAUAAUGCCUGUAAAUAACUGUUAGAAUACUACUUGUUUAGGUUUUUAGUCAGAGCUGACUAUGCCACAAUAGAUGACAGUAGCGACACGCACCGUGGGGGUUUGAACAGUGUUUGCUACUAGAAUUUAAGGUGCCAUUUUGGGACGAUAGCCGAGGUGAGCAUUAUAUAUAUAUAGAUAGAUAGAUAGAUAGAUAGAUAGAUAGAUCUGGCAGCGACCAUGCUUCAUGGUUGUGAGUGAUUAUCAGAGCUAGAGUCAGACUGCUGGUCUCCCUCUUCUUUCAACUGUUCUCUUCAUAAAGUAGCUUCUGGUCAAUCUGUUCACCUCAUUGAUUGACAGGUCUACAAUGCACUGUACAUUUCCUAGUUUAGACUUCUUGUGUGUGUGUGUGUGUGUGUGUGUGUGUGUGUGUGUGUGUGUGUGUGUGUGUCCAUGCUAUUGAUGGCCUUUGUGAACAUUGCAAAUAAAAUAAAAACAUUGUAUUAUUGUGGGG